GGGUUGUGAGGUUAAGCGACUAAGCGUACACGGUGGAUGCCUAGGCAGUCAGAGGCGAUGAAGGGCGUGCUAAUCUGCGAAAAGCGUCGGUAAGCUGAUAUGAAGCGUAAUAACCGACGAUACCCGAAUGGGGAAACCCAGUGCAAUUCGUUGCACUAUUGCAUGGUGAAUACAUAGCCAUGCAAGGCGAACCGGGGGAACUGAAACAUCUAAGUACCCCGAGGAAAAGAAAUCAACCGAGAUUCCCCCAGUAGCGGCGAGCGAACGGGGAAGAGCCCAGAGUCUGAAUCAGUUGGUGUGUUAGUGGAAGCGUCUGGAAAGUCGCACGGUACAGGGUGAUAGUCCCGUACACAAAAACACACUGGCUGUGAACUCGAUGAGUAGGGCGGGACACGUGACAUCCUGUCUGAAUAUGGGGGGACCAUCCUCCAAGGCUAAAUACUCCUGACUGACCGAUAGUGAACCAGUACCGUGAGGGAAAGGCGAAAAGAACCCCGGCGAGGGGAGUGAAAUAGAACCUGAAACCGUGUACGUACAAGCAGUGGGAGCACCUUCGUGGUGUGACUGCGUACCUUUUGUAUAAUGGGUCAGCGACUUAUAUUUUGUAGCAAGGUUAACCGAAUAGGGGAGCCGUAGGGAAACCGAGUCUUAACUGGGCGUCUAGUUGCAAGGUAUAGACCCGAAACCCGGUGAUCUAGCCAUGGGCAGGUUGAAGGUUGGGUAACACUAACUGGAGGACCGAACCGACUAAUGUUGAAAAAUUAGCGGAUGACUUGUGGCUGGGGGUGAAAGGCCAAUCAAACCGGGAGAUAGCUGGUUCUCCCCGAAAGCUAUUUAGGUAGCGCCUCGUGAACUCAUCUUCGGGGGUAGAGCACUGUUUCGGCUAGGGGUCCAUCCCGGAUUACCAAACCGAUGCAAACUCCGAAUACCGAAGAAUGUUAUCACGGGAGACACACGGCGGGUGCUAACGUCCGUCGUGAAGAGGGAAACAACCCAGACCGCCAGCUAAGGUCCCAAAGUCAUGGUUAAGUGGGAAACGAUGUGGGAAGGCAUAGACAGCCAGGAUGUUGGCUUAGAAGCAGCCAUCAUUUAAAGAAAGCGUAAUAGCUCACUGGUCGAGUCGGCCUGCGCGGAAGAUGUAACGGGGCUAAACCAUGCACCGAAGCUGCGGCAGCGACGCUUAGGCGUUGUUGGGUAGGGGAGCGUUCUGUAAGCCGUUGAAGGUGGCCUGUGAGGGCUGCUGGAGGUAUCAGAAGUGCGAAUGCUGACAUAAGUAACGAUAAUGCGGGUGAAAAACCCGCACGCCGGAAGACCAAGGGUUCCUGUCCAACGUUAAUCGGGGCAGGGUGAGUCGACCCCUAAGGCGAGGCUGAAAAGCGUAGUCGAUGGGAAACAGGUUAAUAUUCCUGUACUGGGUGUGACUGCGAAGGGGGGACGGAGAAGGCUAGGCUAGCCGGGCGACGGUUGUCCCGGUUUAAGCAUGUAGGCGGAGCGACUUGGUAAAUCCGGUUGCUUAUCAACGCUGAGGUGUGAUGACGAGCCACUACGGUGGUGAAGUAGUUGAUGCCAAGCUUCCAGGAAAAGCCUCUAAGCAUCAGGUGACAUUCAAUCGUACCCCAAACCGACACAGGUGGUCAGGUAGAGAAUACUCAGGCGCUUGAGAGAACUCGGGUGAAGGAACUAGGCAAAAUGGUGCCGUAACUUCGGGAGAAGGCACGCUGGCAUUAGGUAAAGAGACUUGCUCUCGGCGCCGAAGCCAGUCGCAGAUACCAGCUGGCUGCAACUGUUUAAUAAAAACACAGCACUGUGCAAACACGAAAGUGGACGUAUACGGUGUGACGCCUGCCCGGUGCUGGAAGGUUAAUUGAUGGGGUCAGCCGCAAGGCGAAGCUCUUGAUCGAAGCCCCAGUAAACGGCGGCCGUAACUAUAACGGUCCUAAGGUAGCGAAAUUCCUUGUCGGGUAAGUUCCGACCUGCACGAAUGGCGUAAUGAUGGCCAGGCUGUCUCCACCCGAGACUCAGUGAAAUUGAACUCGCUGUGAAGAUGCAGUGUACCCGCGGCAAGACGGAAAGACCCCGUGAACCUUUACUAUAGCUUGACACUGAAUAUUGAGCCUUGAUGUGUAGGAUAGGUGGGA
rnacentral:rRNA from 1 species